GGAUUAGAUACCCUGGUAGUCCACGCCCUAAACGAUGAGAACUAGACGUUGGGUCCAACUAUAAGGGCUUAGUGUCGCAGCUAACGCGAUAAGUUCUCCGCCUGGGGAGUACGGCCGCAAGGUUGAAACUCAAAGGAAUUGACGGGGGCCCGCACAAGCGGUGGAGCAUGUGGUUUAAUUCGAUGCAACGCGAAGAACCUUACCAGCCCUUGACAUCCUCGGAAUCUUCUAGAGAUAGAAGAGUGCCUUCGGGAAUCGAGUGACAGGUGCUGCAUGGCUGUCGUCAGCUCGUGCCG
rnacentral:rRNA from 1 species